rnacentral:rRNA from 1 species
UACGUAGGGUGCAAGCGUUAAUCGGAAUUACUGGGCGUAAAGCGUGCGCAGGCGGUAAUGCAAGACAGAUGUGAAAUCCCCGGGCUUAACCUGGGAACUGCAUUUGUGACUGCAUUGCUGGAGUGCGGCAGAGGGGGAUGGAAUUCCGCGUGUAGCAGUGAAAUGCGUAGAGAUGCGGAGGAACACCGAUGGCGAAGGCAGCCCCCUGGGCUGACACUGACGCUCAGGCACGAAAGCGUGGGGAGCAAACAGG